AAAUGACCCAUUUCAUGUUGGCACGCAUUGAAAAUCUCUCUUUGGAUUAUUUUUAUUUCUGGAAGGUAAAGAAAGCCAACAAACUUGUUCAGACUUGUUAAAUGUUUGCUGUUUCGUGACGUCUCGCCUGAACGUUUGGAGAGAGAUAUGAACCGACUGUGUAAACAGGCUUCAAGGUGAACGCUGCGCAUGUAUAUAUCAAACGCGCGAAUGGGGCCGCGAGGUUUUUCGGCCAAACCGGUGCGAACUGGAUUGAAAAUUCAAUUUACCGUCCAACGAACCGGUUUCCAUGGCUCUUAAAUAACGAAUGCGGGACAACGAAUUGCUGAUUAACUAAAUGGAAGUGUAUUUACGUCGCAUAACAUCUCUCAAACUUUAUAGCGAGAGCGUUCAAGAUUUUGAAAAUGUUCUGAAUUCACUUGACUGAUAAAAACAGGUAAAUUGGACUCUUUAAGA